CACUCAUCCAGCCUUCCUCCACCAGUUGCAGUUGCUAUUUACAAUGAAGCGAGUUUCCCUUUCAAUCCUUUUUCUUGCCCUUCUCUUGCUGUCCUCUACGGCUUUUGCACGUAUACCAUAUGAGAAUAAUAAGGAUACAAUCUGCCCAAAACUCUGCCCAGAUUACAGGGGCAGAUUGCUAUGCUGCAAAAGUAACUGUUGCGGUGAUUUUUGCUGCAGUAAUGGGGAGUAUGCGGAGUUCCUGAAAGCAAAGAGUCUCCCCAACAACUGAAGCUUCCUGAUUCUCCUGCGAUGAUGGAUGAUGAUGGUAGAAGUGAAAGUGCUUGUCAAUAAUAAAGUAAGCGUGCAUAUUUAUUGUCUGCUAGGGAUCGAGCAUGCACGCUGAGUAUGUCUCUCCUGGUUCUUGUUGUUUCCAAGAACCUUUGUGUACGUUUAUAUCGCGUGUCUCUACCUGUGGAAUGAAAUAAAUUAGUUA